GGGUGUGAGAGCGAUGUGGUUGUGACAUCUGUCACCACAUUGGUCACCAGUUUUGAUUUGGCUCAUCUGGCUAGCUAGGCGGUGUCCCCUUCCUCCCUCAACUCUGCUCCAUGUGUGUCCCUGCUGAAGCUGUACGGUUGGUUGAAGAGGAUGACCUCCUGGAUAGAGGAGGAUUGUUCUUUGGCCAAGAGUAUGCAAGUAAUUGCUUUACCCUGUUAGAACCCUCAAGUAAGCUCUUAAAAGUUAAUCUUAAAGUUAGAGCUCUUAAAAAAUCCAUCACCCACAGGGUGUCCCUGGGUGGCUUAAU
ensembl:misc_RNA 7SK 7SK RNA